rnacentral:rRNA from 1 species
GACGAACGCUGGCGGCGUGCUUAACACAUGCAAGUCGAACGGAAAGGCCCUGCUUGCAGGGUACUCGAGUGGCGAACGGGUGAGUAACACGUGGGUGAUCUGCCCUGCACUUCGGGAUAAGCCUGGGAAACUGGGUCUAAUACCGGAUAUGACCUUCCAUGUAGUGUGGGGGGUGGAAAGAUUUAUCGGUGUGGGAUGGGCCCGCGGCCUAUCAGCUUGUUGGUGGGGUAAUGGCCUACCAAGGCGUCGACGGGUAGCCGGCCUGAGAGGGUGGACGGCCACAUUGGGACUGAGAUACGGCCCAGACUCCUACGGGAGGCAGCAGUGGGGAAUAUUGCACAAUGGGCGGAAGCCUUAUGCAGCGACGCCGCGUGGGGGAUGACGGCCUUCGGGUUGUAAACCUCUUUCGACAGGGACGAAGCUUCGGUGACGGUACCUGUAUAAGAAGCACCGGCUAACUACGUG